rnacentral:rRNA from 1 species
CUGGGGGGGGGGCGCCGCAUCGAUUUAGCAUGCUAGUUGCACGAGUUCAGACUCGUAGCAGAUAGCUCAGUAACACGUGGCCAAACUACCCUAUGGAUCCGGAUACCCUCGGGAAACUGAGACUAAUCCGGAAUACCACUCGAUGCCUGGAACUGGCUCGAGUGCGAAACGCUCCGGCGCCAUAGGAUGUGGCUGCGGCCGAUUAGGUAGACGGUGGGGUAACGGCCCACCGUGCCGAUAAUCGGUACGGGUUGUGAGAGCAAGAGCCCGGAGACGGUAUCUGAGACAAGAUACCGGGCCCUACGGGGCGCAGCAGGCGCGAAACCUUUACACUGCACGACAGUGCGAUAAGGGGACUCCAAGUGCGAGGGCAUAUAGUCCUCGCUUUUCACGACCGUAAGGUGGUCGUAGAAUAAGUGCUGGGCAAGACCGGUGCCAGCCGCCGCGGUAAUACCGGCAGCACGAGUGAUGACCGCUAUUAUUGGGCCUAAAGCGUCCGUAGCUGGCCUCGCAAGUCCAUCGGGAAAUCUGUCCGCUUAACGGACAGGCGUCCGGUGGAAACUGCGUGGCUUGGGACCGGAAGAUCCAGAGGGUACGUCUGGGGUAGGAGUGAAAUCCCGUAAUCCUGGACGGACCGCCGGUGGCGAAAGCGCUCUGGAAAGACGGAUCCGACGGUGAGGGACGAAAGCUCGGGUCACGAACCGGAUUAGAUACCCGGGUAGUCCGAGCUGUAAACGAUGUCUGCUAGGUGUGACACAGGCUACGAGCCUGUGUUGUGCCGUAGGGAAGCCGUGAAGCAGACCGCCUGGGAAGUACGUCCGCAGGAUGAAACUUAAGGAAUUGGCGGGGGAGCACUACAACCGGAGGAGCCUGCGGUUAAUUGGACUCAACGCCGGACAUCUCACCAGCAUCGACAACGUGCCGUGAGGUCAGUGUGAUGAGCUUACUGAACCCGUUGAAAGAGGUGCAUGGCCGCCGUCAGCUCGUACCGUGAGGCGUCCUGUUAAGUCAGGAACGACGAGACCCGCACUCCUAUUGGCAGCAACACCUUUGUGGUGGUGGGGUACAUUAGAAGACUGGCCGUGCAAACUG